GAACCAGGCCUGGGGAUCAAGCCUGCAACUGAGGUCGCUAUCUCCAUUGGGGAAGAAGAGGCAGGUCAGCCACCCAUCUCAGUGCCUGAAACUUCACUGACAGGACACAGAACAGCAAAGAGAGAGAAGAGGAGGAGCAUCUGCCAGGACAGAAGCAGAUCAUACAGUUUCCCAUCUCCAUUGACACUGGUGCCUUCAACGUCUCCUAUGAGCCUUCAGGAGGAAAAGUAAGGCUU